rnacentral:rRNA from 1 species
UAGGGAAUCUUCGGCAAUGGACGAAAGUCUGACCGAGCAACGCCGCGUGAGUGAAGAAGGUUUUCGGAUCGUAAAACUCUGUUGUUAGAGAAGAACAAGGACGUUAGUAACUGAACGUCCCCUGACGGUAUCUAACUAGAAAGCCACGGCUAACUACGUGCCAGCAGCCGCGGUAAUACGUAGGUGGCAAGCGUUGUCCGGAUUUAUUGGGCGUAAAGCGAGCGCAGGCGGUUUCUUAAGUCUGAUGUGAAAGCCCCCGGCUCAACCGGGGAGGGUCAUUGGAAACUGGGAGACUUGAGUGCAGAAGAGGAGAGUGGAAUUCCAUGUGUAGCGGUGAAAUGCGUAGAUAUAUGGAGGAACACCAGUGGCGAAGGCGGCUCUCUGGUCUGUAACUGACGCUGAGGCUAGAAAGCGUGGGGAGCAAACAGG